AACGAACGCUGGCGGCAGGCUUAACACAUGCAAGUCGAACGCCCCGCAAGGGGAGUGGCAGACGGGUGAGUAACGCGUGGGAACGUGCCCUUCGCUUCGGAAUAGCCCCGGGAAACUGGGAGUAAUACCGAAUACGCCGUAUUGGGAAAGAUUUAUCGGCGAAGGAUCGGCCCGCGUUAGAUUAGCUAGUUGGCGGUGUAAUGGACCACCAAGGCUACGAUCUAUAGCUGGUCUGAGAGGAUGAUCAGCCACACUGGGACUGAGACACGGCCCAGACUCCUACGGGAGGCAGCAGUGGGGAAUCUUGGACAAUGGGCGCAAGCCUGAUCCAGCCAUGCCGCGUGAAUGAUGAAGGCCUUAGGGUUGUAAAAUUCUUUCGCCGGAGAAGAUAAUGACGGUAUCCGGAGAAGAAGCCCCGGCUAACUUCGUGCCAGCAGCCGCGGUAAAAC
rnacentral:rRNA from 1 species